rnacentral:piRNA from 1 species
UCAAAGGGUAAAUGCUAUCAAAUACAUUGA